GCCGAUGUGGCACAGUGGUUUGAGUGUUGGGCCACAACUCUGGAGACCAGGGUUCAAUUCCCAGCUCAGCCA